GCUUUUCCCAGGCAGCAGGGUCGGUUUCGGGCCUCGCCAAGCAUUUUAGGAAACUACUUGGCCAUAAUGUAAGAUUCAAAAACACAAAAGAGAACAGGGCGUACGAGGAAACAGGAAGGCACUAUCUCCGCACAAUCCAGGAACCAGCCCUAGUGACACUUCAGCUUGCAUUUCCGGUCUCCAGGACCGACCCCCAUGAGGGCAGGGAUCUUUAUGUUCUCUUUUCACAGUUCUGGAUUUAGAAGCUUAGAAGAGGGCCUGACACUGUUAUGAAGACGUGUUCCCUCUGGACUGGAAGAGCCCUGCCAUUUGGCUCCAUAUGGAGAAAAUCACUAAGGAUGAGAAGACACAGUGUGGAGAGGUCUCAGCAGCUGUCUGCUCCUCAGAGCAAACAAGAAAAAUUAGACAAAAACCAUUGCAUGAAAGAUUUGGAGAAAUUUGAAAGAUGAAACACUGAGAAAUCUUAAGGAUUGCAAUAAACUAUUAAAAAAGCAAACCUCUCUGGAGAAGUCGGAAAGUAGGACCAGUUUUAAACUUGCUGAUAUUUACCAUCCCUGCAUCCAUGCAGAAGGAAGGGCUGGCCGACUGCUCAUGAUUUCUCAAGCCCAGAUGGCUCUGGCUAAACUGCCUUGCUGUUGGGGGCUCUCCGCUGAUGGAUGAUGGAUCUGAC
rnacentral:lncRNA from 1 species